GCAGCCCGCACGCGUCCCCCGCGGGGCGCGCGGCUCUUCACGGCGACAAACCGAAUCCCGAACUUCGCCGCAGGGACCCCACGGCCGACAAGGAGGAGCCCGGCGCCGCCACCCACCCGCGGGGCCACCGACCCGGAGGCCCGCGCCUCGUCCCGGGGCCCCCGGCACGCCCGGGACCUCUGAGGGGGCGCGUCCGCCGACCCGGCCAUCCCUGCGGCGCCGGGUCCCCAGCGUGUCGCCGCCGCCGUCGCCGCCGCGCUCCUCGGGGGGAGGGACCAGCGUCCCGGCGCGAGCCCAGAGGCCGCCCACCCGCGCCACUCCUUACCCGCGCCCGCCGCGCCAGCGCCUCAGAGCACCGAGGGCCGCCGCCGCCGCCGCUGUUUCGCCGGCCCCGGCGCCCGCGGCCGCGCCGCCGCCAUCUUGACUCCAGUCGGAAGUGACGUCGGGCGGCGAGGCAGUGGCCUGCGGGGCUGGGGGGCUCCGGGACCCCCGGUCUCCCCACGAUCCCAGAGCCCGGCCCUUGACCCUGCGCCGUCGCCCAAUGGCCACCACCCAGCCGCCCCUCGUAGGUCACCGCGGAUCCCAUGGCGGCGCCUCGGGAAGGAACCCCGGCGGCUGGCGUCGCGGCAAGUCCGACCGCACCCUAGGGCUAGGAUCCUGCGUGGUUCAAAGAUUCUCAAAGAAUCAAAAAGACUGAAGGAGGUGUUGGGGGGGCAUGUCUAUCGUUGGAGGUCAUUAAAUAUCUGACAAGUACAUAAACGUAGACCUUAUACUUCUACGUUUGGAUCUAUACCAAAAAGAUCCAACUCCAGGCAGACAGACGCAGCUGCUGGGUUUAUUUGCUGCCCUAGUACCCAGGAGCAGUGACCAACGCUGCCCUGUGCCCGCGAUGUUCCAGUGCAGCGCCUCUGAGAGCGCGGUAGUAGUCCUGCCCUUAAGGAGCUUGCUGUUCCCAAGCGGGCAAACAAAUGGACUGCAGAGACGACGACUCAUAGAUGUUCUGAUGAAGAUGAACUGGGUGGAACUGGAGAUGGCUCUUCGACAUCCAAGGGUGGAGGCCUAGCACGUGGUUGAAAAUGAGUUGAGUCGGGGAGAAGCACAGGCUGGAGAUGAGCUGGAAAGUUGGGAGUUGUCGUUAUAGAUGGUGCCUGGAGCCUUCAGCACUUCAAGAUAAAGUAAUCCUCUGAGAAUGAAGUCAGGAAGAAUCCGAAUGUGAUGGCUACGUUGGCCAUCUGCAGAAAGCACCCAGUGGAAAAACAGGAUACUAAGGGCAGGUGUGCUUCCAAAAAUUAUGAACGAUCAUUUAUGUAACAGGUUUAAUCUUAAGAAAACGUGUUGGCCGGGCGCAGUGGCUCACGCCUGUAAUCCCAGCACUUUGGGAGGCCAAGGCAGGUGGAUCACGAGGUCAGGAGAUCGAGACCAUCCUGGCUAACACGGUGAAACCCCGUCUCUACUAAAACUACAAAAAUUUAGCCGGCCGACGUGGCGGGUGCCUGUAGUCCCAGCUACUCCGGAGGCUGAGGCAGGAGAAUGGCGUGAACCCAGGAGACGGAGCUUGCAGUGAGCCAAGAUCGCCCCACUGCUCGCCAGCCUGGGCGACAGAGACAGACUCCAUCUCAAAAAAGAAAGAAAACGUGUUGUAUCAACAUAUAUCAUGUUAUCUUAUUGUAAAAGAAUGAGGCUAGGCCGGGCGCGGUGGCUCAGCCUGUAAUCCCAGCACAUUGGGAGGCCGAGGCGGGUGGAUCACGAGGUCAGGAGAUCGAGACCAUCCUGGCUAACACAGUGAAACCCCGUCUCUACUAAAAAUACAAAAAAUUAGCCAGGCGUGGUGGCGGGCGCCUGUAGUCCCAGCUACUCCGGAGGCUGAGGCAGGAGAAUGGCGUGAACCCGGGAGGCGGAGCUGGCAGUGAGCCAAGAUGCCCCACUGCUCUCCAGCCUGGGUGACAGAGCGAGACUCAGUAUCAAAAAAAAAAAAAAAAAAAAGAAUGAGGCUAUAGCUGAUGAUCGAGUCGGUUAUAGUAAACAAAUGAAGAUCACCUCAUUAGAGUAAAUUUUAUUAAGGCCUUGAGAAGUGACAGGGCUUAAGAAAAUAAGGAAAUAAAUCAAACCUCAAGGGUUUGCUUAUUUCUUCCGCUAUUCAAGGAAAAGAGACCCUAGAUCUGGGAGAUACCACGUGCCUGUCAUCAAAGUAGUAUUCUCUGUUGUGGAGCAAAGUCAUCAGACUUCUGCACCCCUUACCUAGAUUAAUACCUUCCAACUGGAUCCAUGCAUCGAAAUUAUCUGGGGUAUCUAUGAAGAAAAUAGGGAGACCCCACUGUUCCAUCCACCAUCAAAACACUGACAUAGAAAUCACCAUUUUAAGAGAAAAGCUAUGGGCCACCUGGCAUUCAAUAGAAUGCAAAAGGAAAAUAAAGGAUGUUAAAUCAGAAGUGGCACGGUGAACCAGAAUGGAUACUAGAUGGUUGGUUAACAGAGUAGCCAGUAGUUGUCUUUCCGGUUAUUAAUUCAUUAAUCCAAAGUGACUGGCUAUAUUAGUUUCCUGUGGCUGCUGUAACAAAUUAUCCCAACCCUGACAACAGAAGUUUAUUCUGUCACAACUCUAGAGGCUAGAAGUCCAAAAUCAGUAUCACUAGGCCAAAAUUAAGGUGGCAGCAGGGCCGGGCUCCCUCUGGAGUCUCUAGCAGAGAAUUGCUCCUUCCCUUUUCCAGCUUCUGGUGGCUGCCAGCAUGCCUUGGCUUGUGACUGCAUCACUCUAUCUUCAAGGCCAGUAUCUUCAAAUCUCUAUCUCCAUCUUCAUGUCAUCUUCUCCUGUGUAUGUGGUCAAAUUCCCUCUGCCUCCCUCUCAUAAUGAUACAUGUGAUUUAGGACCCACCCAGAUAAUCUGGCCAUCUCAAGAUCCUUCACUUAAUCACGUCUGCAAGACUACAUAUGAAGUAGCAUUUGCAGAUUCUGGACGUUAGGGAUGUGGAUUUAGGUAUGGGGCCAUUAUUUAGCCUACCACACUGGGUGUCUCCUCAGCGUUUCUGAGGUUCCCCCCACCCUUAAUCAGCCAUUGUGUGGUUUUUAUCUGUGUAUUUCUUGAACAUAUGUCUAUUUUUCAACCUGUGCUAUUUCUCAGGGUAAAUAAUUAAAUAUAAUUUGUUUAAUCCGAAAAAGAUCAGAGCCAACAAGAAUACAAUAAUUUAAUGAGCACUUAUUAUCCAUGUGAUAUGUUAAAUAUCAUUCUUUUGCCUCUUUGAAAAGGUAAAAUGUAUUGUUUAGCCUACCACGCUGGGUGUCUCCUCUGAGGUACCCCCACCCUUAAUCAGCCAUUGUGUGGUUUUCAUCUGUGUAUUUCUUGAACAUAUGUCUAUUUUUCAACCUGUGCUAUUUCUCAGGGUAAAUAAUUAUAUAUAAUUCAUGUAAUCCAAAAAAGAUGUGAGCCAUCAAGAAUACAAUUUAAUGAGCACUUAUUAUCCAUGUGAUAUGUUAAAUAUCACUCUUUUGCCCCUUUGAAAAGGUGAAAUGUAUUGCAGGCUGUUUCUGUAUGGGGAUGGAAGUAUAAAAAUAUACUCUUUGUCCAAGUCGACAACAUGAAUCAAACUCCACUCUACCCCAGUACACCUGGUACCAGUUCUGGCCGGUUUUGUACCUUGCUGCGGCAGUACCGUGAUGGAAGACAUGAUCAUCAUUCACCACAACAUCCCACUACCCAGAAGAGUGUCUGGCACACGAUAAAUGCUAAAUAGAUAUUUUUAAUUGGAAAAAAAGGCUUCUCCAUGGCCCUCUCAAUGUGGAUGUAUUACAGCAAGUAUGUUGCAGACUGCACCUUGUGCCUAUAAAUGACAGUAUAUUGUUCAUAUUAUUAUAAUAGGAACCACAGCACUCCUGCCCUGCAUAGCAGCUGGAAUGCCUGUAGCGCUUCCAAAAAGAUUGCAGAUCUUACAGCUGAGAUCCAAGAGUUUACCGUACAUUGCCAAUGAGAAUAAGUGGACUUCAAAUUCCCCGAAUGAUAACAAUACUUAUUCUCUGUUGGGCUCUGUUCUAGGUAUUUUACAUGCACUCUCUCACUCAUCCUCAUAACCUGUGUGAUAAGCACUAUCCUCCUUUACGGCUGAGGAUACUGAAGCUAGGAAGGGUUCAAGGACCUGCCUUGGCCAGGCGCAGUGGCUCAUGCCUAUAAUCCCAGCACGUUGGGGGGCCAAGGUGGGUGGAUCACUUGAGGUCAGGAGUUGGAGACUAGCCUGGCCAACAUGGUGAAACCCCAUCUCUACUAAAAAUACAAAAAAUUAGCCAGGAGUGGUGGCGCACACCUGUAAUCCCAGCUACUCAGGGGCCUGAGAUAGGAGAAUUGCUGGAAUUUGGGAGGUGGAGGUUGCAGUGAGCUGAGAUUGUGCCAUUGCACUCUAGCCUGGGCGACAGAGCAAGGCUUUGUCUCAAAAAAAAAAGGACUUGCCUCAUUAGUAAUACAACCAAGCUGAUAGGGUAGUUUGGCAGGACACACAGCCAUUUCCCUCUCAGCUUAGGAAGGCUGUCAUAAGACUAGGACUAGCUCUGCAAGGCAAGAGAAGGACAAUUUAAGAUGGAAAAAAAAAUAAUGGAACCAGGUUUUGAACAUAGACCAUUUAGCUCUCUAGUAAGCAACCUCCCCACCCCCAGAGCAUGCAUGCACGCACACAGACAUGCACACACACAAGCAUGAGAGCUAGACCAGGAACUGGUACACACAACCAUGCUACUCCAUGUGCCUAACUAGUCAUUCCUCCAUCGACAUACUCACGGUAGGGGCUGGGAAGGAUUUUUUUUUACAUUUUUUUUUAUUCAUUGCUAGAAUUAUUAGAAAACAUUGGAUGCAUAAAGCCACCGUUCUAAAUCCUGUCCCUGGACUGUCAGGCAAGAACAGCUAUUAAAAGAUCAUAGGCAUGGGCAAAGGAAGAGAAUCCAGUGCAGCUGAAUCAAAUGAACUCACCUUUUGUUCAGAUAACACAUCGCUUACCUUUAACAAAAAAAAAAAGAGACCCUUUUCUUGCGACUGCAAAUCAUGUUCUAUGAAAUCCAGCGUCUCUUCUGUUACAUCACCUUACUCUCUCCACCCGCCAUCCCUGUGCCACGUCAUUUACCUGAGCAAGGAAUGGCAUCCAAGCAAGCACGCCAGCCACUAAAAGAUCUGAAACUUGCGCUCUUCACGCAUGAAGUCCAGACAUAGCAACUCUGGGGGCUAAAGAUACAUCUUACCGCGUCAUAGGCACUUUUGGCUGCGUAGUUUCUGUGAGAAAAACCCCGCAGCCUCAAAAUGUAUAGGCAGAUCUUGGCAGUGGUGAAAUGUAGUUAUGUGAGAAAGGGAAAAGGGGUGACCUUUACUGAGCCCCAAGUCUGAGCUGGCACUUUAUACUACGUUGUCUUUUCAUCAUCUCGACAGCAGCAACAGCUGCUAAUUUUGCAGAUGAAGAAACUGAAGCUCAGAUUGUUGAGAGACACAGCUGGCUGGAAUAAGGGGGCAGGAUUGAAGGACUUCUCUGAUGUCAAAGUCCAUGAUGAGUCGCUGUUCAUUCAGCUUCGGGUCAUCAAGAUGCUCUUAGGCACUAGGGGCAAAGACGCCACCCCUCUCCUCCAAGAACUUAGGAUCCAGUGGAGGAGACAGGACUUACAAAGCAGGCUAGUCCUGGUGUGAAACCAGAACCGCAUUCCUGUGCUCCCAGCGUGCUCCGUGAUGGCUCGCUCCCCACACCUUUUUCCUUUUCAUUAUUACUCUUAAGAAAAAACAAAAAAGGCCGGGCGCGGUGGCUCACGCCUGUAAUCCCAGCACUUUGGGAGGCCGAGGUAGGCAGAUCAUGAGGUCAGGAGAUCGAGACCAUCCUGGCUAACACAGUGAAACCCCGUCUCUACUAAAAAUACAAAAAAUUAGCUGGGUGUGGUGGCGGGCACCUGUAGUCCCCGCUACUCGGGAGGGUGAGGCAGGAGAAUGGCGUGAACCCGGGAGGGGGAGCUUGCAGUGAGCCAAGAUCACGCCAAUGCACUCCAGCCUGGGCGACAGAGCGAGACUCCGUCUCAAAAAGAAAAAAAAGAAAACUGACUUGAAGAUGUUAAAAUUUCUUUUUUUUUCUUUUUUGAGACAGAGUCUCACUCUGUCAUUCUGUCACCCAGGCUAGAGUGCAGGAGUGCAGUAGUGCAAUCACAGCUCACUGCAGCCUUGACCUCCUAGGCUCAAGCAGUCCUCCUGCCUACAGAAUAGCUGCGACCACAGGCACAUGCCACCAUGCCCGGGUAAUUUUUGUAUUUUUAGUAGAGAUGAGUUUUUGCCAUGUUGCCCAGGCUGGUCUCAAACUCCUGGGCUCAAGUGAUCUGCCUGCCUCGGCCUCCCAAAGUUCUGGAAUUACAGGCAUGAGCCACCACACCCGGCCCAAGAUGCUAAAAUUUCUAACCAAUUCAAAUAUGUGGCUCUAGAGAUAACUUCACUCCAUUCUACAAAAAAAAAAAAAAAAAAAAAAAAAAAAAAAAAAAACUCCAGAGCACUGUUGCUAGGUUUUUCCAUUGUAUUUCUUAUAUCACAUUUUCUAGAACCAAACAUAUUAAUAAAUUAGGUGAAAAGUUCAGAAUUUCCCAAACAGAUGUCACUCCUUUCAAAACUUUUAGUGUAACAAGCUCAAAGACCCAUGCAGUUUGUUCCAGAGAAUACAAAGGGAAGUUUAAGCCUUCCUUGAAGGCAGAAUGAAUUCACUAAUACGCCACCGAGAACAUGAAUAAAACAUAUACAUUGACAGCAAAGACAUGAAGUGAAAAUAUUUUUCAGCUGGAAAUAGCAAGCAGCAUGAGAAGGAAUAGAAAAUAAAUCAGGUCCAGAAAUGAGCAGAUUGCACUGAGAUAGUAAAACGCUAAGCCUGGAUUUGUUUCCCCAGAUUCGAAGCUGUAGUGUGUUGCCUUACAGGGGCGUCUGUAGAUGAGAUGACCCGUCCUACCUACCCAGUCAGUGCUCACUCAUCACCAAGGUGAACCAUCUCUUACCCUGGAUCUGUGCUUCUCACCAUCCCCAUCUGCAUUCUAGAAAUGCCGUGCUCUCCAUUUUUCUUCACCCCGCUUUCUGUCUAAGAUUCACUCCUCACCCCUUCUCUCCUGCAUCCAAAUUUUGCCUUUCCUCAGAAGCCAGCUUUUUGAUGAAAUCUUCCCAUAGUUGCAUUAGUUUCCUAAGGCUACUGUAACCAAGAGCCACAAAACAAAUUCAGUGGUUUAAAACAGGGGUCCUCAACCCCCAGGCCACAGACCGAUACCCUGUUAGGAACUGGGCGACACAGCAGGAUGUGGGCAGCAGGCGAGUCAGGGAAGCUUAAUCUGUAUUUAUAAAGCCACUCGCCAUCACUGGCAUUACCGCCUGAGCUCCGCCUCCUGUCAGAUCAGUGGCAGCAUUAGGUUCUCAUAGGAGCAAGAACCCUAUUGUGAACUGUGCAUGCAAGGGAUCUAGGUUGUGAGCUCCUUAUGAGAAUCUAAUGCCUGCUGA
rnacentral:lncRNA from 1 species